AUGCCGCCACCCUCCCUCCUGCUCUUCCACUGCCGCGCCCCGCUCCCGCACCGCCCACUGCGGAUGAGCUCUCCGUCGCCGAGCAGGAGGGUCGUCUGCUCCGCCUCCACUGCCGAGGGGUACAUCUCCGCGGCGCCGAUCCUCCUUCCAGACGGGCCAUGGAAGCAGGUAGAAGGCGGCGUCACGGCGGCGAAGGGGUUUAGGGCCGCGGGCAUCUACGGCGGCCUGCGCGCCAAGGGACAGAAGCCUGACUUGGCGCUUGUUGCUUGCGACGUCGACGCCACCGUCGCCGGAUCUUUUACAACAAAUGUUGUUGCUGCUGCGCCUGUUCUGUAUUGCAAGCGUGUCCUUAGUUCAUCCAAAACAGCUCGUGCUGUGUUGAUUAAUGCUGGUCAAGCAAAUGCAGCCACUGGUGAUGCAGGAUAUCAGGACGCAGUGGAUAGUGCAGAAGCUGUUGCCAAGCUUUUGAAUGUGAGCACAAAUGACAUACUGAUCCAGUCCACUGGUGUCAUUGGUCAAAGAAUAAAAAAGGAAGCACUUAUAAAUUCACUUCCUAGACUUGUGGGCUCUCUGUCUUCAUCUACUGAAGGUUCAAAUUCUUCAGCUGUGGCCAUCACAACUACAGACCUUGUUAGCAAGAGUAUUGCUGUCCAGACUGAGAUUGGAGGAGUGCCUAUCAAGAUAGGAGGAAUGGCCAAAGGUUCUGGGAUGAUUCAUCCAAAUAUGGCGACAAUGCUUGGUGUUCUCACGACCGAUGCUCAAGUAAGAAGUGAUGUUUGGAGAGAAAUGGUCCGGACAUCAGUUAGUAGAAGUUUCAACCAAAUUACUGUGGAUGGUGAUACAAGUACGAAUGACUGUGUUAUUGCUAUGGCUAGUGGAUUAUCUGGUUUGUCGGACAUCCUCACUCAUGAUAGCGCUGAAGCUCAACAGCUCCAAGCAUGCCUAGAUGCAGUAAUGCAAGGCCUCGCAAAAUCCAUAGCAUGGGAUGGUGAGGGUGCAACCUGCUUAAUUGAGGUUACUGUAACUGGUGCAAAUAAUGAGGCAGACGCAGCUAAAAUUGCUCGUUCAGUGGCAGCGUCCUCCUUGGUUAAAGCUGCUGUAUUUGGGCGAGACCCGAACUGGGGGCGUAUUGCUUGCUCUGUCGGCUAUUCAGGGAUUCAUUUUGAUGCAGAUCAACUUGAUAUUUCCCUUGGAGUUAUUCCACUAAUGAAAAAUGGCCAACCACUCCCUUUUGACAGAUCUGCUGCUAGCAAGUAUCUCAAAGAUGCUGGUGACAUCCAUGGUACAGUAAACAUUGAUGUAUCAGUUGGGAAUGGAGGAGGCACUGGAAAGGCGUGGGGCUGUGAUCUAAGUUAUAAGUAUGUCGAAAUAAAUGCUGAGUACACAACGUGA
rnacentral:rRNA from 1 species